GCCAAGAUGACCGAGCGGCUAGGUGCGUGGCUGCAGACCACGAUACUUGGGUUCAAAUCCCAAUCUUGGCC
rfam:Methanobacterium congolense isolate Buetzberg genome assembly, chromosome: I